CCCCAAGUUUAAAAAAAAAAACAAAAAAAAAAGCUUCUCUCUUCUCUUUGGGUCAGCCCAGAUCCCGGCCAAGAAGCCGGCCAACCUCCACCGUCCCCGCCAUGGCUGGCUCACCUGCUGUGGCCGAAAAUCCAAAGAGUUGACAGUGGAGCAGGUGGCCGACUGGCAUGGACAAUGGGACAGAAACGACGGCUAGGGGGGUUAGGGUUUUUUUAUUUUUACCACAAUUUGUUUAGGUAGUGGGCUGAUGUAAGUGGGUUAGGGUCUGUUUAGUUUUGGGCUGUUGGGUAGGUUUAGCCCUUGUUUGGGUUGGGGUAGGUUUAGGUUAAAAUGGACCUGGGCAAAAUUGCUUUGUACAAUACACAUAUUAAGCAUUGUUUCUAUGCUUAAAACUUCGAACGGUAGAUGCUUAUAAGAUUUUCAAUGAUAGUAAAAGAGAAAAAAAUUAAAAUCAAAUAA